CUCAUUUCACUUUUAUUUCUUUCGGGAUAAAUAAUUGAAUUCACGUGUUGUAAAUCAGUCUGUAUAGCGCACAUAGACCCUAAAUUUAGCGAUCAACUAUGCAUAUUAUAAACGUAACAUUUAACGUACAACAUUUUGUCUUUGUUACUAUUAGUUAUAAAGGAUGGUAGCACAUCAUUUUUGAAUGACUGUCUUCAUGAGUUUGUCUGCAUCCAUAUUGCAUGUUUCCUCUCACUUGUAAAUUAUGGUAGCAGUUUUUCUUAUAGUUCUUUCGAAACAGUUCUUUCUGCGUUUCUGCUCACAUGUUUUUAAAUCUGUUUCAUUGAGGUUCCAAAUAAUGGCUCAUUGGUUUAGAUAUAACACCUAGAAGCAUAUAUUCUUCUUAUGCAAACAUGUAAAGUAUUGCAGCUGUUAUGAAAUUCUGUUGUCUUUGCUAUUCUGUUACUAAUAAAAUAGUUUUUUUUUCACUUCUUGUCCUUUGGCACAAUCCCUAAAUUGAACUUGAGUAGUUUUACUAAGGGCACCCAUCUCACAUGAAAUUAAACUAUGUAAAAACAUAUUCUACCUGACUUCCUGAUAUAAAUUACGAUAAAUUUGAUGUGGUAAUUAAUAUUGAGACACUAAUUUUGGCAAAGAGCACUAAUGACUUGUUUAAGACUUGAAGCUAAAAGUUGAGGACUUGCAACUCGACUUAGACUUGCCUAUUUUGACUCGGGACUUGACUUGGGACUUGUCUGUCUUGACUCGAGACUUGACUCGAGACUUGAAUGCAAAGACUCGAGACUUACUUGUGACUUGCUAAACAAUGACUUGGUCCCAUCUCUGCGGUGUACCCCUCUUUGCAACAGAGGAAGCAUAAAGAAAGAGAAGAAGAGAGAAAGUGAAAAGGCACUCAACAGAUGUCGGAAAAUGCACUGGUAACAACUAAAAAAAGAUGACUAAAAAUAUAAUUCAACAGAUGAUGAUGGCUGUGGUGAAACAAGCACUCAAAUAAUGAAACUAAGACCAGUGGGAGUGCUGGAGAAAUCAAGUGAACAAGUCCUCUGUCGUUUCAGCCAUUGAAGAGAUCUUCAGACAUGAAGAGAUUGAGGAGUUAAAUGAAAUCAAAGAGCUAAAAGAAGAUUUACAAUACUAGUGCCAUUUCAGUAUGAAAACAGAGAGAGAGCUGAGGUAGUGGAAAGAAAUGCAUGUUAUUGUGCAAGGGGUAGUUGCAUGGACUAUCAAUGGAGGAACAGAAAGCUCUGAGAUUUCAUUAUAAAGAUCUUCAUUUGUGUUCUGAAGAUGAACGAAAGACUUGGUUUGGAACGAUAUGAGGACUACAUCCAAAAUAGCGUUUCCACAUCUGAGAUAAAGGCAGUCAUAAGAACCAAGCGGAACGAUGAGGAUAAACGCUUCAAAAAAUGAAACCUGUCUGAAUAAUGAGGGAAGAAAUGUGCAUGAUUGCGUGAUUUGUAAAUAAACACUAAAUACAUUUAGUGUAACUCUCAGCCUGUUAUUUUAAGUUUAAAGAAAAGUAAAAUCAUUUAUUGUUGCAUUGCUGUU